UGCCAGACUCCUACGGGAGGCAGCAGUGGGGAAUAUUGCACAAUGGGGGAAACCCUGAUGCAGCGACGCCGCGUGAGCGAUGAAGUAUUUCGGUAUGUAAAGCUCUAUCAGCAGGGAAGAAAAUGACGGUACCUGACUAAGAAGCCCCGGCUAACUACGUGCCAGCAGCCGCGGUAAUACGUAGGGGGCGAGCGUUAUCCGGAUUCACUGGGUGUAAAGGGAGCGUAGACGGCGAUGCAAGCCAGGAGUGAAAGCCCGGGGCCCAACCCCGGGACUGCUCUUGGAACUGCGUGGCUGGAGUGCAGGAGGGGCAGGCGGAAUUCCUGGUGUAGCGGUGAAAUGCGUAGAUAUCAGGAGGAACACCGGUGGCGAAGGCGGCCUGCUGGACUGCAACUGACGUUGAGGCCCGAAAGCGUGGGGAGCAAACAGGAUUAGAUACCCCCGUAGU
rnacentral:rRNA from 1 species